rnacentral:rRNA from 1 species
GACGAACGCUGGCGGCGUGCUUAACACAUGCAAGUCGAGCGGUAAGGCCCUUUCGGGGGUACGACGAGCGGCGAACGGGUGAGUAACACGUGGGUGACCUGCCCUCAGCUCUGGGAUAAGCCUGGGAAACCGGGUCUAAUACUGGAUAUGACUCCAUGACGCAUGUUGUGGGGUGGAAAGCCUUGUGCGGCUGAGGAUGGGCCCGC